rnacentral:lncRNA from 1 species
GAAAUAGCUACCAGAGAACAGCAGGCCAAAGAGAGGAAGAGUACCUGCUGAGAGAUAGAUUGUGAAAGUCUCCCAAAAACUGAUGAGGUCUGGAGACUGCCAGUGGUGUUGAAUCGCCAAGAGCUGAAAGACUCAGAAUACCACGAGUCUGCUGAAUCUGUACAAGGCUGCUAACACAGGCUAGCAUCUGCUGUGGGUUGUGUAACUUGGACCAUGCCCAAGAAUGCGGAGGCUGCUGUGUGCAAACAGAGACUGCAGGAUUAUACAAGCAUCUAAUGAGAGAAGAGCCCCUCUGUGUGACGUUGUGAGCACCUACCUGGAAGCCCCUGCUGCGUCAGUGUGACGCUGCACUCCUCAGUAAACAGCUGCGGUCGGACCCCUGGGGUUGCUGCCCAGGUAGCAGCAUGGUGAGUGCAAGUGACCUGUGUGAGUAAGUCACUGUGGUGUGGGACUGGUUAUCUGCUGCUAGUAAUACCAGCUUGAGUCUAUUAAUAGCAACAGCUUAAGGACUGAAAGGCUUUCUGAUAAAUUUUAGCUCUGACUCGAUCCCCCUUAAGGUAAAAGGUAAUUUACACCACUUAGACCCCUGUUCCACAUCUCCCCAGAAGGAGAGCUUGGGAAGGGGAGGAGUUGGGGACCCCUGUCACCCAGCUGUGUGUGUUGCAGUGCCUGGAGACCAGCAGAGGAUACACAACAGCUCACCGAAGAGAGCCUGCAGGUGCUGAUGUGCGUGCAGUCCCUGUGCCACCACAGCAGGAGCAGAACACCUGUGUUUGUGCAGACGAUGCUGUGGGCUCUUCCCUCACUGAUCGGAGUGGAUUAGGAGUCAGUGCUUUUUUUUCUGGGGACAGAAGGCAACCAAGGCAUCCUGCCUGUAUUCACAUCUGCCGUGAUUCCCCAAAUCGCUCUUCUUGCCAUGAACAGCUUCGUGCUUUCUCAGGAAGACUUGGGGGAAUGCUCGGGUAUGAUGAGAGCAGCAGCCUGGUUGACUCUUGCUUUUACUGCAGACAAAAUCAGUGAGGAGAGAACAAAAAUGAGCUAGGCUAAAGCUGGCAGCUGAUCCUACGCAAACUGCUGUGACUUUGCUGCCUGGGGCAGUGGAGAUGCGCUCCUGGCUUUGCUCCUAAGGGCAGAGUUACCCAAGGGGUGCAGCAGGCUCGUAGGGCCUUAAUCAGGGCCGCAGGGCAGGACCAAAGCAGGAGUGAUGGGCAGGAGAAGGAAGCUCCAUGUUUUACUUCUCUGUAGCACAUCCAGAAACUAAAGUGGCCUCCCCUUUGCCCUGGAGCUCCAAGCACACUGAUGAGGUGGCAGCUCUUCUCCAGUGCUGCUGGGAUGAAAAAAGCCUCUCCUGCCCUGCUGGGCUGUGUUCCCAGCACUCGCAGGUUAUGCCUCCCUGAGGAGUGGGUGAAACAGCAGCUGCUGCUGUCCUUUCAGGGGAUUUUAGGGAUUGGGUGAACCUCCUUAAUGGCAAAGGAGAGUCUGGAUCGAAGAGAAAACAACUGACCUAGUCAAUAGCUGUGUCUCUUCUGGGGAGAUCUCUCUGCUAAGAGAUCAAAUGUAGUAGCGGUUCCUAAAUACAAUAAAAGUACAGCAGGACUCA